rnacentral:lncRNA from 1 species
AAUCGAUUACAACAGAAAAACCGCAACAAACAUCUCUAGACAUCAUAGACUUACAAUUUUUUUUUUAAAUAUUCACUACCUUGUUAUAAUGGUAAAUGAUUGUGUUUUAUCAUCCGUUGAUGAUGUAGAGCAAAAACUUGUCAUAGCUAAGCAGAACCUAAUUACAUUAAAUGAUAAUAUUCGACGAUUUGUUGGUCGCGUACCAAAGGAGUUGAGGUGUGUACAUAUAUAACACAUUCAAUUAUAAAUUUGUUUAUAAACUACAAGUUUUUCUUCUUUUAUACGUUUUUAGAAUAGACAAACACAAACAUGCUGAUGAAGUCAAAAAGAACGAACAUAACGAAAGAUCAUUUAAAGAUAAACGUCGUACGUUUGAUUCGAACUAUGGAGAUGCUCGCUUCACUACAGACGAGAUUGAACCCCGCUCGGCAAGAAUCAACUCUCGAGUUAUCCGGGAAUUACCAUCUAGAAAAGAAGUAGUCGAAGCUCAAGGGACCGAUUCCGAGUCAAUAGCUCGAAAUCGUCGCAUGUUUGGUUCGCUUAUUGGAACAUUACAAAAAUUCUGCCAAGAGGAGUCGCGUCUAAAGAUCAAAGAAGAUAAAAAAGCUGAAAUAGAAAAGAAACUGGAGAGGCAAGAACUUCAGGAGCGGACAAUGCUAAGAAAAGAACGUGAAACUUUGUUUUUAAAUAAAAAACGAAAGCAAUUUGAAAUCAGAGCAUUGGAAUAUAAAAUGGCUAGGCUAAAGGAUUUCAAAUCUUGGGAAUCGAACAUCUCUUACCAAAAAAAUCAAAUUAGAACAAAAACUAAACCGCAUUUAUUUUUUCGGCCACAAAUACACACCCCUCGUACAGAGAAACUGCUACUUGAAUGUAAAACUUAUGUAGAAUGUUUUAUCCAAAGCAGACGUGAAGAACUACACGCAGAACUACGGGACAUGGAGCGUUUAAAUUACAUCAAAAUGCAUGAAAAUAACGAAAUUGACGAAAGUAUCUUUGAAGAACAAUAUGAUGAGAUGGGUAGCGAAAUUGCAUAAUUAAAAAAAAUAAGUUCAAUAAAAAGUAACAUUGCUGAGACUCGUUUUGAAAAUUUAUUUUUUUUCAUCGUCCUGAUCCAGAUCUUUAAAUAGGUUUGCAGAUAUUAGAAAAUCUUGAACAUAGCAAUUUUUCGGAUUUGGGUUUCACAUAUAUUCGUAAGGUACAAUGGAAUUUGUUAAAUUCAGUAUUCGAAGGUACAAAUUAUAUUGGUGUCAAUAAAAAUAAGUUGAUAUAACGAUAUUACAAACUUUAUGGAAAAUAACAACAAUCGGACUUGGUUUCAAGACUUGGUUUCCCCUAAGAAUGCGUUCUUUACAUGUUCAUACGUCCAUUAAGCUAUUUUUAUACCCGCUACUCGAAGUGUAAAUAGGGUUUAUUGUAUUUGGAAGGAAGGAAGGAUUCUUCAGAAUCAAUAGCCGAGUCUGUAUAGCCAUGUCUGCGUGUCCGUCCGUCUUGUUGAGCGCCUGGAUCUCAGAGAUUCAGUGACCAUCAAAUUUUGCAUCCAGAUGGCUGUAAUAUCACACUGUUACACGAGUAUUUCAAAAUUUUCCCCGCCAAAUUUUAAUUUUUGCUUAAAAUAUCGGAUAUACCCUCAGCCUAUAGCCGCAAAACAAAAAUCAUAUGACAGGUCAGACAUUUCGCUUU